GGCAAUGGCGGGGUGCUUACACAUGCAGUCGAACGAUGAACCGCUUUCGGGCGGGGAUUAGUGGCGAACGGGUGAGUAACACGUGGGCAAUCUGCCCUGCACUCUGGGACAAGCCCUGGAAACGGGGUCUAAUACCGGAUAUGACUGUCCGCCGCAUGGUGGAUGGUGUAAAGCUCCGGCGGUGCAGGAUGAGCCCGCGGCCUAUCAGCUUGUUGGUGAGGUAGUGGCUCACCAAGGCGACGACGGGUAGCCGGCCUGAGAGGGCGACCGGCCACACUGGGACUGAGACACGGCCCAGACUCCUACGGGAGGCAGCAGUGGGGAAUAUUGCACAAUGGGCGAAAGCCUGAUGCAGCGACGCCGCGUGAGGGAUGACGGCCUUCGGGUUGUAAACCUCUUUCAGCAGGGAAGAAGCGAGAGUGACGGUACCUGCAGAAGAAGCGCCGGCUAACUACGUGCCAGCAGCCGCGGUAAUACGUAGGGCGCAAGCGUUGUCCGGAAUUAUUGGGCGUAAAGAGCUCGUAGGCGGCUUGUCACGUCGGUUGUGAAAGCCCGGGGCUUAACCCCGGGUCUGCAGUCGAUACGGGCAGGCUAGAGUUCGGUAGGGGAGAUCGGAAUUCCUGGUGUAGCGGUGAAAUGCGCAGAUAUCAGGAGGAACACCGGUGGCGAAGGCGGAUCUCUGGGCCGAUACUGACGCUGAGGAGCGAAAGCGUGGGGAGCGAACAGGAUUAGAUACCCUGGUAGUCCACGCCGUAAACGGUGGGCACUAGGUGUGGGCAACAUUCCACGUUGUCCGUGCCGCAGCUAACGCAUUAAGUGCCCCGCCUGGGGAGUACGGCCGCAAGGCUAAAACUCAAAGGAAUUGACGGGGGC
rnacentral:rRNA from 1 species